rnacentral:rRNA from 1 species
UACGGGGGGGGCAAGCGUUGUUCGGAAUUACUGGACGUAAAGGGCUCGUAGGCGGCCAACUAAGUCAGACGUGAAAUCCCUCGGCUUAACCGGGGAACUGCGUCUGAUACUGGAUGGCUUGAGUGUGGGAGAGGGAUGCGGAAUUCCAGGUGUAGCGGUGAAAUGCGUAGAUAUCUGGAGGAACACCGGUGGCGAAGGCGGCAUCCUGGACCAUUACUGACGCUGAUGAGCGAAAAGCCAGGGGAGCAAACGGGG